CGGAGGGCGGCGGCUUCACGAGAGCCGAGCAGGACCCAGACCCAGCGGGCAUCCGAGGCCCCCACCCCCACCCCCACCCCUUCCUCCGUGUAUAAAAGCGGUGCCAGGGUGAGCGUCUCUCCUCACACUGACUGCACCAGAACAAGAGCUUGAGAGUGAGAGUGAGGAUGAUGGGUGGCAAGGCCGCUCUGCUGCUGGCCCUGGUGGCCGUGACCCUGGCCGUCGUGGAGAUCCAGGCCGACGCCGGCUACGGCUACGGCGGCGGCUACCCGACGCCGACGCCGAAGCCGCCGGCCAAGGGGCCCAAGCCGGAGAAGCCCCCGACCAAGGGCCACGGCCACAAGCCGGAGAAGCCGCCCAAGGAGCACAAGCCGACUCCGCCCACCUACACCCCGAGCCCCAAGCCCACGCCGCCGCCGGCUACUCCCAAGCCGACGCCGCCCACCUACACGCCGAGCCCUAAGCCCAAGUCGCCGGUCUACCCUCCCCCGCCGAAAGCCAGUACUCCUCCGACCUACACCCCGAGCCCCAAGCCUCCGGCGACCAAGCCGCCUACCUACCCGACCCCCAAGCCACCAGCUACCAAGCCUCCGACACCUCCUGUGUACACUCCGAGCCCCAAACCACCGGUUACAAAGCCUCCUACACCCAAGCCGACCCCGCCGGUGUACACGCCGAACCCCAAGCCACCGGUUACCAAGCCUCCGACACACACGCCGAGCCCCAAGCCUCCGACAUCCAAGCCGACUCCGCCGGUGUACACACCGAGCCCCAAGCCACCGAAGCCGUCCCCGCCGACGUACACGCCGACCCCGAAGCCACCGGCUACCAAGCCGCCCACCUCAACUCCGACGCACCCUAAGCCGACGCCGCACACGCCUAUCCCCAAGCCCACGCCGCCAAC
rnacentral:lncRNA from 1 species